CUUGGUCAUUUAGAGGAAGUAAAAGUCGUAACAAGGUUUCCGUAGGUGAACCUGCGGAAGGAUCAUUACCGAGUACCCGCGCUAAUAGCGUGGACUCCCACCCUUGCAUACCGACCUGUUGCUUCGGCGGGACGCGGUUGUUUCUGUGAGGUGCGAAUCUCACUUGUCUCCGCGAUUCCUCUUCUUCUCUUUCCGAUGUGUGGAUCUGUCCCCUCUCAGGGGUAGGACCCUUAGUAUCGGGGGAGAAUAGAAAAGAAGGGGGAGCCUGCCCGCCGAGGGUCCAAACUCUUGAUACAUUCUUGCAGUCUGAGAAAAAAACAAAAUCAAUCAAAACUUUCAACAACGGAUCUCUUGGUUCUGGCAUCGAUGAAGAACGCAGCGAAAUGCGAUAAGUAAUGUGAAUUGCAGACUUCAGUGAAUCAUCGAAUCUUUGAACGCACAUUGCGCCCUCCGGUACUCCGGGGGGCAUACCUGUUCGAGCGCCGUUGUACUACUAAGGCUCAGCCUUGCGGUGACCGACGCCCCUCCUGUCUUUCUGGAGGGGUGGGGUCGAAACCCAUGGGCGCGUCCUCUCAGGUCGUCCAGCGUAGCAAGUCUCUCGCUGAACGUUUGCCGAGAGUGGGAGCGCCAGUACUCAAUAACGAACGCUUGGCCUCGAAUCAGGUAGGGAUACCCGCUGAACUUAAGCAUAUCAAUAAGCGGAGGAAAAGAAACCAACAGGGAUUGCCUCAGUAACGGCGAGUGAAGCGGCAUCAGCUCAGAUUUGAAAUCUGGCCCGCAAGGGUCCGAGUUGUAAUCUGCAGAGGAACGUUCGGUCUCGGCGCCGGUCCAAGUCUCUUGGAACGGAGCGUCGUGGAGGGUGAGAACCCCGUACCCGGCCGGUGGCCGUGACCGUGUGAACGUCCUUCGACGAGUCGAGUUGUUUGGGAAUGCAGCUCAAAGCGGGUGGUAAAUUCCAUCUAAAGCUAAAUAUUGGCCAGAGACCGAUAGCGCACAAGUAGAGUGAUCGAAAGAUGAAAAGCGCUUUGAAAAGAGAGUUAAACAGUAUGUGAAAUUGUUGAAAGGGAAGCGCUUGCAACCAGACUUGUUUAUAGGGUUCAGCCGUCGUUCUCGUCGGUGUAUUUCCCUAUUAUCAGGCCAGCAUCAGUUUAGGUGGAAGGUCAAAGGCCUUGGGAAUGUAUCAUCCUCCGGGAUGUCUUAUAGCCCUCGGUGUAAUGCUUCCCUCCUGGACUGAGGAACGCGCUUUUGCUCGGAUGCUGGCGUAAUGGUUGUAAGCGACCCGUCUUGAAACACGGACC
rnacentral:rRNA from 1 species